UGUUUACUUAAUUUUAAGCAAAUUGUUGAGUUUACUAGAAAUGUAUUAGUGUUACUGACAUAGUAAGGUAUAAAGUUCCCAUAACUAAUGUAAUUUGAGUAAAAUUGCUUAUAAGGGCCAAGUCAUGCUGUUACGCAUGCGUACUGGGUGGUGAUUUCCCAUCCCCCAUCUCGAUUCACAACCCAACCCAACACUAUCGUCGAAGGACAGGAUUUCAUAUUGAGAUGUACUGCAGUAAAUCAAGACUACCAGUUUGUGAGCUGAUAUGCAGUGGAAAUUGACAUCCAGAAGGAAGUCAUAAAAAAAACACCAGCUGAUACAAGUGAAACAAAUGCUGCAGAGGAUCUUUGCAGAAUUCACUCUAAUAUUAGGAAGAAAUUUAAGAUCCGAGUUCAACGCUGAAUUGGACACACACUGCUCGUUUGAAAUUUUCAGAGAGAAAAAAGAAAACUAGAUGAGAUUUUGCAACAAGUUUAUUCAAAGUCAUCUGAUGUAAUGCUUGUCCGCACAGCAGUUCUUCCGGGUCUUUCAGUCCUUUUGAGGGAUGAGUCUAAAGAUUGUUUCUGGAUGUGUUUUGAUGUGGAUGUAGAGUCUGACUUCAGUGCAGUAGAUGUUGGCCUGCUGAUUGUCUUGUGUGAAGAUAUCUAAAGGACCUCAAUGUGGAUGCAAUGUGGGCCAUUAUACUGGAAGGAAAAGUGGUUAUGGAUGAUGUCCCUACUUUGCCACACGCAGUAGGUCUGCUUUUUUGCUUUGAUUUACGCACUGAAUUCGGACUUCCCAAAGACUACAAGCAAUGUAUUUACUCAACGUGUGUUGCUUUAGCUGGGAGGGAAGCUUAAUGUGUUUUUUUUUUUUUUUCUGCGAGAGCCUAUA